AACGGACGCUGGCGGCAGGCUUAACACAUGCAAGUCGAGCGCCCCGCAAGGGGAGCGGCAGACGGGUGAGUAACGCGUGGGAAUCUACCCAUCUCUACGGAAUAACGCAUGGAAACGUGUGCUAAUACCGUAUACGUCCUUCGGGAGAAAGAUUUAUCGGAGAUGGAUGAGCCCGCGUUGGAUUAGCUAGUUGGUGGGGUAAAGGCCUACCAAGGCGACGAUCCAUAGCUGGUCUGAGAGGAUGAUCAGCCACACUGGGACUGAGACACGGCCGAGACUCCUACGGGAGGCAGCAGUGGGGAGUAUUGGACAAUGGGCGCAAGCCUGAUCCAGCCAUGCCGCGUGAGUGAUGAAGGCCCUAGGGUUGUAAAGCUCUUUCACCGGUGAAGAUAAUGACGGUAACCGGAGAAGAAGCCCCGGCUAACUUCGUGCCAGCCGCCGCUGUAACAC
rnacentral:rRNA from 1 species